CAUAGCGACUAUCGUGGCAUAUCAAUAAGCGGAGGAAAAGAAACUAACAAGGAUUCCCCUAGUAACGGCGAGUGAAGCGGGAAGAGCUCAAAUUUGAAAUCUUCAAGGUUCUACCUUGACGAAUUGUAGUUUAUAGAAGUGUUUUCUGUUAGUAGAGUGGCAAAAGUUCUUUGGAAUAGGACAUCAUAGAGGGUGGGAAUCCCGUAUUUGGUCAUUCUUUCUAGCUUUGUGAUACACUUUCAACGAGUCGGAUUGUUUGGGAAUGCAGUCCAAAAUGGGUGGUAAAUUUCAUCUAAAGCUAAAUAUUGGCGAGAGACCGAUAGCGAACAAGUACCGUGAGGGAAAGAUGAAAAGAACUUUGAAAAGAGAGUUAAACAGUACGUGAAAUUGUCAAAAGGGAAGCGUUUGACACCAGUGUUGUUUUUCCGAAAAUCAAUUACGAAUGUUUUAUUUUUGAGAAGUUAUGACUUCAUCGGCUUGCUUCUUCUCUUUACUGAAACUUUCUUAAUGCACUUUUCGGUUAACAAGUCAACAUCAAUUUCUUUUGUUGUAAAAGGGUAUGAGGAAGGUGGCUUUCUUUUCGGAGAAAGGUGUUUAUAGCCUUGUACCUCUGCAAUCGGAGAGAUUGAGGUCUGCAGCGUAGAUCCUUCGGGGUUAGAUACAUUUGUGCUAAGUUAUAGCUUUUCAUAGACAACUUGUUGACUAUGUUAAGUCUUGUAGGCUUACUCGCUUAUGCUAUUUUACCUACGCUUAGGAUGUUGAUAGUCACAGCGUGUAC
rnacentral:rRNA from 1 species